rnacentral:rRNA from 1 species
UACGUAGGAGGCAAGCGUUAUCCGGAAUGACUGGGCGUAAAGGGUGCGUAGGUGGUUUGGCAAGUUAGUAGCGUAACUCCGGAGCUCAACUUCGGAACUACUACUAAAACUGUCGGACUUGAGUGCAGGAGGGGCAACUGGAAUUUCUAGUGUAGCGGUGGAAUGCGUAGAUAUUAGGAAGAACACCGGUGGCGAAGGCGAGUUGCUGGACUGUAACUGACACUGAGGCACGAAAGCGUGGGGAGCAA